rnacentral:rRNA from 1 species
AACGAACGCUGGCGGCAUGCCUAACACAUGCAAGUCGAACGAGACCUUCGGGUCUAGUGGCGCACGGGUUCGUAACGCGUGGGAACCUUCCCUUAGGUUCGGCAUAACUCCCCGACAGGGGUGCUAAUACCGGAUAAUGUCUUCGGACCAAAGAUUUAUCGCCUUUGGAUGUGCCCGCGUUGGAUUAGCUAGUUGUUAGGGUAAAAGCCUACCAAGGCGACGAUCCAUAGCUGGUCUGAGAGGAUGAUCAGCCACACUGGGACUGAGACACGGCCCAGACUCCUACGGGAGGCAGCAGUGGGGAAUAUUGGAAAAUGGGCGAAAGCCUGAUCCAGCAAUGACGCGUGAGUGAUGAAGGCCUUAGGGUUGUAAAGCUCUUUUACCCGGGAUGAUAAUGACAGUACCGGGAGAAUAAGCCCCGGCUAACUCCGUG